rnacentral:rRNA from 1 species
UACGUAGGUGACAAGCGUUAUCCGGAAUUACUGGGCGUAAAGCGCACGCAGGCGGCAGAUUAAGUCUGACGUGAAAUCUCCUGGCUUAACUGGGAGGGGUCGUUGGAAACUGGUCAGCUUGAGGUGGUGAGAGGGGUGUAGAAUUCCCGGUGUAGUGGUGGAAUGCGUAGAUAUCGGGAGGAAUACCAGUGGCGAAAGCGACACCCUGGCACUAGCCUGACGCUCAUGUGCGAAAGCGUGGGGAGCAAACGGG